CCUACGGGUGGCUGCAGUGGGGAAUUUUGGACAAUGGGGGAAACCCUGAUCCAGCCAUGCCGCGUGCGGGAAGAAGGCCUUCGGGUUGUAAACCGCUUUCGGACGGAAAGAAAUCGCACGGGCUAAUACUCUGUGUGGAUGACGGUACCGUAAGAAGAAGCACCGGCUAACUACGUGCCAGCAGCCGCGGUAAUACGUACGGUGCGAGCGGGAAUCGGAAUUGCGGAGCGUAAAGCGUACGCAGGCCGUGAAAUCCCCGGGCUUAACCUGGGAACUGCGUUUGGAACUGGGAGACUAGAGUGUGUCAGAGGGAGGUGGAAUUCCGCGUGUAGCAGUGAAAUGCGUAGAUAUGCGGAGGAACACCGAUGGCGAAGGCAGCCUCCUGGGAUAACACUGACGCUCAUGCACGAAAGCGUGGGGAGCAAACAGGAUUAGAUACCCGGGUAGUC
rnacentral:rRNA from 1 species